rnacentral:rRNA from 1 species
UACGGAGGGUGCAAGCGUUGUCCGGAAUCACUGGGCGUAAAGGGCGCGUAGGCGGCUCAUGAAGGCUGUGGUGAAAGUCCGGGGCUCAACCUCGGAUCGGCCGUGGCGACUCGUGGGCUGGAGCACUGUAGAGGCGGGUGGAAUUCCGGAGGUAGCGGUGGAAUGCGUAGAGAUCCGGAAGAACACCAGUGGCGAAGGCGGCCCGCUGGGCAGUGGCUGAC